rnacentral:sRNA from 1 species
GUCAGGAGUGGUGGAGCAUACCUGUAAUUCCAGUUACUCAGGAGGCUGAGACAGGAGGAUCACAAGUUCCAGGCCAGCCUCAGCAACUUAGUGAGACCCUUUCUCAA